GACGAACGCUGGCGGCGUGCCUAAUACAUGCAAGUCGAGCGAGCUUGCCUAGAUGAUUUUAGUGCUUGCACUAAAUGAAACUAGAUACAAGCGAGCGGCGGACGGGUGAGUAACACGUGGGUAACCUGCCCAAGAGACUGGGAUAACACCUGGAAACAGAUGCUAAUACCGGAUAACAACACUAGACGCAUGUCUAGAGUUUGAAAGAUGGUUCUGCUAUCACUCUUGGAUGGACCUGCGGUGCAUUAGCUAGUUGGUAAGGUAACGGCUUACCAAGGCAAUGAUGCAUAGCCGAGUUGAGAGACUGAUCGGCCACAUUGGGACUGAGACACGGCCCAAACUCCUGCGGGAGGCAGCAGUAGGGAAUCUUCCACAAUGGACGAAAGUCUGAUGGAGCAACGCCGCGUGAGUGAAGAAGGGUUUCGGCUCGUAAAGCUCUGUUGGUAGUGAAGAAAGAUAGAGGUAGUAACUGGCCUUUAUUUGACGGUAAUUACUUAGAAAGUCACGGCUAACUACGUG
rnacentral:rRNA from 1 species